AGAGGUAAGGCUUUUACUUGGAAAUGCACAGCAAAGUGUUCUCUGUAGGGGAGAAGGGAGGAGUAGCUUUUAGCAAUCCUGCAGCUGUGGAAAAGUCUGUCUCAGGAAAAAAAAUCAUGCCCUUCUAACUUUGGCUGAAAGCGUUCUACUGCCACCUAAUAGCAGCAACCAACUUUGCAUUUCACUUUGAAGACUGGCCCCACAGUGGGAAGCACAGCCAAAGUGUUCUCCUUUCCAGCUUUGGGAACACCUGGCCAGGACAAAUUACCAGGCUUUAAAAUAACUUCUUUACUGUCUGUUAAUUGCAGCAAGCCUCUGGAAGAGCCCAGCUGAAAUCUGCCAUCUCCUGUGCCAGGCUUUGACCUGCACUGGGAAACCCUUACUGAGUUCAAAGUAAGACCUGGAGCCACAACUGACAUGUGAAGUCACCUGCCUACCUUAUCACCUCCCCUCAGCUACUGCAGGAUUGCCUCCUUUCAUCCAAAGUCAUUUGUAUGUAUUCCCAACCCACCUCCUAGGAAAUAAUUAGCCAAGCCUCAGUGUUCACCCUACAGCUCUCCUUACUGCUCCUCACUGUUCUUUGUUCACUCUUUCCCUCUCUAUUUCAGUCACAGGGACUGAGGUAGCGUGUGCCUUACAGAGGGUGUGAGGAAUGAUGCAGAACAAGGGGUGGCUCUCAUCCUGUCACUUCCCUACAGAAGUCCAAGGCUUACUUUGGUCUGUUCCAAGGCUGAGCUGCACUGAGACUGUGAAUCUGGAGCACUGGUGUUCUGGCACACAGUCCUGCUGUCCUGUCUCAGUCACUCAGUGUUACCAACCCACCCUGUUUAUGUUUGUCCAUCUCCCAGGCCCACUUUGUCGACAAUGAAUGCAACUGGAUCUCACGUGCAUUGAAAAGCUGACCUUCACCAGCCCUCAUUCCCAGGAGAGAUUUCUCUACCCAAGGCGUUUUGGCUUCAAUCAUGUUUGCAUCAACUGCAUCAGCUAUACUGGGAAUGCUCCCCUGGAAUUGCUGCAGUCCCUUUUUCCAUCCACAGUGAAUUCCAUCUAAAGGACAGUGUGCUGGAAUUGAGCUUUCCUGGCCUAGCGUUGUGUGAUUGAUAACAACUUGGAAGAAUGAUGGAGCAUGGUGGAAAGGGAACAUGACCCCUGAAGGUGUUGAAGAUUAAGUUUUCCAAAUGCAAAAGGAAUCAUUCCUGCCUUUCCACACCAGCACUCAGGAGGAGGAAAGCAGAACUAGUGAGAGGACUUGUGAUUUGGUAUGUUCUUCUUCUCUGGAAAGAAGGAAUGAAUUUCCAGUCCUAGAGAGCUAAACUCUACCACAUCACCUGGCUACAGUGUGAAAUCCCUUCAGGACAGUUUUGGAGAUGGUGAUGGCACACAUACUGCCUUCUGAUGAUUUUCCCAGUGGUCGUUCAAGCGCAUGGCAUUCAGCUCAUUCCGAUUCUCCUCUCGCCUCUGCAGCAGCUUCUUAAAGGCUUCCAUUUGAACCUUCUGCAACCUGCAAGGAAAGAAAAGGCUGCAAAGGGAGAAAAGCUUUUCUAGGAAGAUACUUUCUGAGAAUGAACACUUUCUUUGGCAUGUGCCGUGUCAAUCAUUGUUACAGGGUUCGGAACAAGAGGCUGAGGACCUGGCUGUCCCCUGCAUCCCCUGCAUCCGCUGCAUCCUCUGCAGCUGACAGGGUACGCGACUCUCUCCUAGAAAGAGGUGCAAGAUGGAAGAUUGGUCACAGUCAUUAAAGAAAACUCUAAGCAAGCAAACCAGAAACAUGUCAGUCAAAGCAGCUUCUGGAACACCUGCUGGAAGCAGCCUAGAAAAGCUGAGAGGCCUGAAGAGAGAGAAUGAAAGUAAGACAACAAGGAGGAGCC